CAGCCGCCGCGGGAAAACGGAGGGUGCAAGCGUUAAUCGGAAUUACUGGGCGUAAAGCGCACGCAGGCGGUCUGACAAGUCAGAUGUGAAAUCCCCGGGCUUAACCUGGGAACUGCAUCCAAAACUGGCAAGCUAGAGUACGGUAGAGGGUGGUGGAAUUUCCUGUGUAGCGGUGAAAUGCGUAGAUAUAGGAAGGAACACCAGUGGCGAAGGCGACCACCUGGACUGAUACUGACACUGAGGUGCGAAAGCGUGGGGAGCAAACAGGAUUAGAUACCCCGGUAGUCCCUGUCUCUUAUAU
rnacentral:rRNA from 1 species